CCGGACCGGCGCACGGGUGAGUAACACGUAUGCAAUCCACCUGUAACAGGGGGAUAACCCGGAGAAAUCCGGACUAAUACCCCAUAAUAUGGGCUCUCCGCAUGGAGGGUCCAUUAAAGAGAGCAAUUUUGGUUACAGACGAGCAUGCGCUCCAUUAGCCAGUUGGCGGGGUAACGGCCCACCAAAGCGACGAUGGAUAGGGGUUCUGAGAGGAAGGUCCCCCACAUUGGAACUGAGACACGGUCCAA
rnacentral:rRNA from 1 species